rnacentral:rRNA from 1 species
UACGUAGGGUGCGAGCGUUGUCCGGAAUUAUUGGGCGUAAAGAGCUCGUAGGCGGCUUGUCGCGUCGGAUGUGAAAGCCCGGGGCUUAACCCCGGGUCUGCAUUCGAUACGGGCAGGCUAGAGUGUGGUAGGGGAGAUCGGAAUUCCUGGUGUAGCGGUGAAAUGCGCAGAUAUCAGGAGGAACACCGGUGGCGAAGGCGGGUCUCUGGGCCGAUACUGACGCUGAGGAGCGAAAGCGUGGGGAGCGAACAGG